UGGCUCAGUUGGUAGAGCAUGGUGUUUGCAACGCCAGGGUUGUGGGUUCGUUUCCCAC
rfam:Salmo salar isolate Sally breed double haploid chromosome ssa18, whole genome shotgun sequence.